rnacentral:rRNA from 1 species
CNGGAUUUAUUGGGCGUAAAGCGAGCGCAGGCGGUUAGAUAANUCUGAAGUUAAAGGCUGUGGCUUAACCAUAGUACGCUUUGGAAACUGUUUAACUUGAGUGCAGAAGGGGAGAGUGGAAUUCCAUGUGUAGCGGUGAAAUGCGUAGAUAUAUGGAGGAACACCGGUGGCGAAAGCGGCUCUCUGGUCUGUAACUGACGCUGAGGCUCGAAAGCGUGGGGAGCGAACAGGAUUAGAUACCCUGGUAGUNCACGCCGUAAACGAUGAGUGCUAGGUGUUAGGCCCUUUCCGGGGCUUAGUGCCGCAGCUAACGCAUUAAGCACUCCGCCUGGGGAGUACGACCGCAAGGUUGAAACUCAAAGGAAUUGACGGGGGCCCGCACAAGCGGUGGAGCAUGUGGUUUAAUUCGAAGCAACGCGAAGAACCUUACCAGGUCUUGACAUCCCGAUGCCCGCUCUAGAGAUAGAGUUUUACUUCGGUACAUCGGUGACAGGUGGUGCAUGGUUGUCGUCAGCUCGUGUCGUGAGAUGUUGGGUUAAGUCCCGCAACGAGCGCAACCCUUAUUGUUAGUUGCCAUCAUUCAGUUGGGCACUCUAGCGAGACUGCCGGUAAUAAACCGGAGGAAGGUGGGGAUGACGUCAAAUCAUCAUGCCCCUUAUGACCUGGGCUACACACGUGCUACAAUGGCUGGUACAACGAGUCGCAAGUCGGUGACGGCAAGCUAAUCUCUUAAAGCCAGUCUCAGUUCGGAUUGUAGGCUGCAACUCGCCUACAUGAAGUCGGAAUCGCUAGUAAUCGCGGAUCAGCACGCCGCGGUGAAUACGUUCCCGGGCCUUGUACACACCGCCCGUCACACCACGAGAGUUUGUAACACCCGAAGUCGGUGAGGUANCCUUUUAGGA